rnacentral:rRNA from 1 species
AGCUCCAAUAGCGUAUAUUAAAGUUGUUGCAGUUAAAAAGCUCGUAGUUGGAUCUCGGGUCCAGGCUGGCGGUUCGUUUCGCGACGACACUGCCCGUCCUGACCUACCUGCCGGUCGUCUCGUCGUGCUCUUCGCUGAGUGCGUCGAGUGGCUGGAACGUUUACUUUGAAAAAAUUAGAGUGCUCAAAGCAGGCCGUUUGCCUGAAUAACCGCGCAUGGAAUAAUGGAAUAGGACCUCGGUUCUAUUUUGUUGGUUUUCGGAACUUGAGGUAAUGAUUAAGAGGGACAGACGGGGGCAUUCGUAUUACGGUGUUAGAGGUGAAAUUCUUGGAUCGCCGUAAGACGAACUACUGCGAAAGCAUUUGCCAAGAAUGUUUUCA